rnacentral:rRNA from 1 species
GAUGAACGCUGGCGGCGUGCCUAAUACAUGCAAGUCGAGCGAACGGACGAGAAGCUUGCUUCUCUGAUGUUAGCGGCGGACGGGUGAGUAACACGUGGAUAACCUACCUAUAAGACUGGGAUAACUUCGGGAAACCGGAGCUAAUACCGGAUAAUAUUUUGAACCGCAUGGUUCAAAAGUGAACGACGGUCUUGCUGUCACUUAUAGAUGGAUCCGCGCUGCAUUAGCUAGUUGGUAAGGUAACGGCAUACCAAGGCAACGAUGCAUAGCCGACCUGAGAGGGUGAUCGGCCACACUGGAACUGAGACACGGUCCAGACUCCUACGGGAGGCAGCAGUAGGGAAUCUUCCGCAAUGGGCGAAAGCCUGACGGAGCAACGCCGCGUGAGUGAUGAAGGUCUUCGGAUCGUAAAACUCUGUUAUUAGGGAAGAACAUAUGUGUAAGUAUCUGUGCACAUCUUGACGUUACCUAAUCAGAAAGCCACGGCUAACUACGUG